UGAGCUGUUGGGUGGCUCUGAAGAUGUGUUUGUGUUAGAGAUUAGUUUACAUGCAAAGUAAGUUCUUUAAGAAAAGUAUUACUGCGCACCACUCCAAUUUGUUCCUUGAACUGAUAAGAUCUGGUCCAGUAGUACUGCUGCAAAUAUGAGGCAAGACGUUCUGCCUGUUUCUAUUAUCCCGCACAAUAAACAAUAUGUGUGUACUCACCAUAGUGGUGAAGCACAUACACUUCAACACUUCCGCUUCGGUACAACCCCCCUAAACACAAGAAGGGCUGAGAUUAAUCCGUACCCUUUCAUACUAAGGGGCAUGAUGGCCAUAUUUAAAUAAGUUUUUUUUUGAGUAACCGUUGUACCUAGCGUACGAACGCCUAACCGGCCAUGGGUGCGCGGCGGCCAGCCCAUUUAAUCCUUCUUUUACUGGCAACCCAGUAACAUCGAAAAAUUAUGCACGCAACGUGAUUCGAACUUGGAACUUCCGAUUCUAAUACACAAUGCAGUCACCAAUCGGGACAACUUACAUUGGUGUGUGGUUUCCAUUUUUCUGCUUCUUGUACACAACGAAGUAGCAUGCUUGGCCGGCCCAACAGGCCCGACGGCGUGUCGGCCCAUGGCCGCCGCAUUUUUAAUCCAUUUUAUUUUUUCGUUCUUUCAUUUUUUCCUUUCUUGAGUUUAUCUUUUUUCGUGCACAAUUUUCAGCAACUGUUGGGAAUUUGUUAGCAAUUUUCAUAAAAUUGUAAAUAUUUUAACAUUUUCAUAAAUAAUUUGAAAUUCCAAAAUUGUUGAUAAAUUAAAAAUAAAUGGUUAGAACAUAAAAAUUUGUUCAGGUUGGUUCAUAAUUAUCGAAAUUUCAUACAUGAAAUAAAAGAAGCAUUGAAUUUAAGAAAACUACGUGCUCACGGAUGCAAUCGUCUGGACUAGUCCUGCAACCUAUUCUUAACUGGUGUUUUUUUGCACUAUUGAUAAAUGACCCUAACUUUUUGCGGUAGCCUGGCAUGGACAUAAUAGGCAUCCAUGCCUGAUUCAAAUGAGUUGCGACACUGUUGGCAUGUUGCAACACGUGUGGCCAUUAUAUAGGAUGUUAUUCACCGAAAUAAUUAAAAAAUAUCAGAAACUUGUCUUAUGAAAGUACUUGUUGGCAUGGUGGCAUGAAAUGGUGAUACAUGGUGAUGGAAAAAAAUAGUUCAUUUGACGGAUGUCGAAAAAUGAGGUGUUCACGAAUAGACCCGAACACCCACUGUCUAACAUGUUUUUUUUUGUACACCCAGUGCAUGCCCAUGGUAGGCAUAUAUGUCUGAUUUGAAUGAAUUCGGGCACCGUUUGCAUGUUGCAAUAUGCCCGGCCAUUUAUCAGCCCUUUUUCACCGAGAAAACUUCAGAAAAUACAAAGCUUGUCGAAAACGGGAACAUCCUGGCAUGAUGGCAUGAAUUGGUGAUACAAGGUGAUGGGGAAAAAUUGAGGCCAUCUGGCGGAUGCAAAAUAUAAGGUGUUCACAAACAGACCCUUCUGGCCACCCGAACACCCUCUGUAUAACAUGGUUUUUGUUGUACAUGUGAUGAAUGACCCUAGAUUUUUCUACCAAUGGUGUGUGUGCCCAUAGUAGGCAUCCAUGCCUGGUUUGAAUGAAUUCGGACACCGUUUGCACGUUGCGACGCAUUUGGCUAUUUAUCGGCCUUUUCACCGAGAAAACCCCAGAAAAUACAUAACUUUUCGAAAGCGAAAAAAACCUGACAUGGUGGCAUGAAUUGGUGAUACAAGGUGAUGGAAAAAAAGUUCCUCGAUUUUCAAAAAGCUAAUGAAUUUUUAAAAAAUCAUGAGAUUUUAAAAAAUUUCAGGAAAUUUGGAACAAAAAUGAUCACAGAGAUUUGAAAAGAAAAACAAAAAUUAAAAAGCUGCAGGGAUUUGUAAAUUCACGAAUUUGACUAAAAAGGAAAAAAGGAAAAAAGAAACUAAAACCGGAAAAAAAGGAAAAUAAAUAAAUAAAUGACCGGCGAACAAAAAGUAAAAAAAAGUACACUGUACAACAAUAUGUAGGCUUCCCAGUUGGUUGUCGCAGGUAGUUGUGAACAUUGAGGUUUUUUGUUCGAAUCCCAUGUGGGCAUCCCUUUUUUGAACUCUAGGAAAAAAAAGUGUAGCAAAAGGAAAGUGUAAAAUGGGCCGGCCCACGAUGGAGGAGAGGCGGUCAGGACGUGCAAACGCGUACGUAUACGUCCCGAGACCCAUACAGAGGUGGGUAUACGUUCCUCUCAAAAGACCAUUAUGCCCUUAUACGUUUUGUGGAGGGGGGUUGUACCGAAGCGGGACUCACACUUCAAAUCAUCCAUUCUCUUGUUCCCCAAAAUAAAUUCAUUCGUUCUAACCAUUAGCCAUAUGAUUGUACAGAUAGACCAUAUAAAUGGGAUUCUUUCUGUAAAUAGAAAUCAACCUGAUUUGAUUAUGUUUCAUGUCCAUAAUAGUUUUCUCUUGGUAGAAAAAACAUAAACAUGUACAUACAGAUUAUAUUUCUGCUCAUUGCAAGAGGAUAUGAGGAUUUCUACUAUUAUACCGACAGAAUGAUAGCAUCACCUCAAGCAUGUAACCGUGGGAGUUAGUCCUUCAUUAAUGAUUUGGUAAGUUGUCCAUACUGCCUCGAGGGGGGAAGUUUUUAUCACUGCUUUUUGGUUGUAUUUAUGUAAGAGGCAUGGAGGGAGCUGGAACUAAUUUGUGAUUUCUCCUGGCCAUUUUUUUCUUCUAAAAAGAGAAAGUUUUCCGGUGAUCAAACAUUGUAGAUCAGAAAUGUUCUUCAUCGAUGCCCAUCCCAAUUGCUAACAAUUCUUUUGCACACUCAGGUUUGUGCUUUUCAGUGGUAAUUUACUAAACAUACUUUGGGUUAUGAUCCUUUGACAUACACUUAUGCCCUCCCCUACACAUUAUUUUUAGGUUGCCAAAUAUAGUACGAAGGAACUAUAGCAAGUGAAUUGUCGAGUUUGCCAAGCAUAAUGGCACACCUAAUUUUGGCAGAUCAUAUAAAGAGGAUAUCGAGCAAAGAUGCUUUGAGAUUUACCCAUGACUAUAUGCGGUUCCUAUAAACUCCUGUUGCAUGUUUAAUGAUUGCCACAAUAGUUUCUUUUAAUGCACCAGAGAAUUAUAUUUUUUGUAUCAGGUAAAUAAUUCUUUUCUCACUGUUAUUUUUCCAGAUCAAGAUCGAGAUAUAGACAAGGGGUAAUGGCAGCUCGUGCAGUGGCAGAGUGCUGGGGAGGCUGCCGGUGUCGUUGCUGAGAGCUGGGGAGGCUGCUGGUGCCAUGGCCGAGCGAUUGGGCGAGCUGCCGUGGUGGAUGUGGGAGAGCGACCAGUAAGGCAAGACAGAGUUGUGCUGUUGGUUAGGUCCAUGGCGAGGUGCCACGAGAUGGCAUCAGAUUUAUUGGAGGAUAUACAUGAUGACUAGGGUUGAGAAUAAUAUUGCUACUCCUGCAAUUUUGAAUCAUGUGUGAGAGGAUAGAACAGAGAAAAGGAAUAUGAGGCAAUUUUGUUUGCUAUAUGCUUUGUGUGCCGAUGCUUUUGUACGGAGAGAGACACUUCAUGUGAUGUUGCUAUGUGGCCUUCUAUGCUCUGAUGUGUGCUAACUUUGUACAAGGGACAUUCAUAUAUUGGAAUUCAAAU
rnacentral:lncRNA from 1 species